rnacentral:rRNA from 1 species
GACAGAGGCCUCGAGCGUUAGGCGGAAUCACUGGGCGUAAAGCGCACGUAGGCGGGUCGCUAAGUCGGGGGUGAAAUCCUGGAGCUCAACUCCAGAACUGCCUUCGAUACUGGCGAUCUUGGAGUCCGGGAGAGGUGAGUGGAACUCCGAGUGUAGAGGUGAAAUUCGUAGAUAUUCGGAAGAACACCAGUGGCGAAGGCGGCUCACUGGCCCGGUACUGACGCUGAGGUGCGAAAGCGUGGGGAGCAAACAGG